AUUGAACGCUGGCGGCAUGCCUUACACAUGCAAGUCGAACGGCAGCAUGAUCUAGCUUGCUAGAUUGAUGGCGAGUGGCGAACGGGUGAGUAAUACAUCGGAACGUGCCCUGUAGUGGGGGAUAACUAGUCGAAAGAUUAGCUAAUACCGCAUACGACCUGAGGGUGAAAGUGGGGGACCGCAAGGCCUCAUGCUAUAGGAGCGGCCGAUGUCUGAUUAGCUAGUUGGUGAGGUAAAGGCUCACCAAGGCGACGAUCAGUAGCUGGUCUGAGGGGACGAUCAGCCACACUGGGACUGGGACACGGCCCAGACUCCUACGGGAGGCAGCAGUGGGGAAUUUUGGACAAUGGGGGCAACCCGUAUCAAGCAAUGCCGCGUGUGUGAAGAAGGCCUUCGGGUUGUAAAGCACUUUUGUCCGGAAAGAAAUCGCACUUACUAAUAUUAGGUGUGGAUGACGGUACCGGAAGAAUAAGGACCGGCUAACUACGUGCCAGCCGCCGCGGUAACAC
rnacentral:rRNA from 1 species